UUUUUUUUUUUUUUUUUUUGUUGGUUCCAAGCCACUAUUGUCUUGACUUCCAGAUUUUUACCAUCCAACCAAAGGGUUGGUGCAUAAUGAUUCAACCUCAAAAUGUAUGAAUGUUAUGAUUGACUCUGCUAGCUAAGUGUUUCCUGGGAUUGAAAAGUCAAAAGAGUUACACGUAUACUCCCAUUCUGAACUUGUCCGAAGCCAAUCUUAGACUAAAAUCCUCAGCAAUUCCAGAGCUCAAGCAUAUAGAAACGGAACGGGACUAGUAAUCAAAGCCAAAUCCAUCGAUUCAGUGACCAAUAAUCAAGACUGACUACGACUGAGAAGGCUACUUGAUUGACAAAAAAAAUGACCAUGUGAGUUUGUACUUUGUACUGCCAGGGCCAGCAGGUGAAGGGAGGAUAAUGGGGUACUGAUUGCCACAUCCCCAGUAAAAGCGUUGAAUUGCAGUGAAGCAAUAAAAAACAUGAAAAAACAAAACUAAAAAAGAAAAACCUGCUAAAGAAAGUGUGGUGGGGGUUGGGUGACAGAGGUUUCAUUGCUGCACAGGCUACUACUCCCCAUGUAAAUUUAAGUCCAUGACUCUCACUCCAUUAUUUCUGCUUUGAGCCAGUGACAGUGUGCAACUCAGAGAUAUAACUUCACUGGUCUAUAAUGCGGACAAACAUGACUGGUGCGCUGGAAAUAUGAUUGGCAAAUCUGAAAGUUUCCACACACAUAAGAAAAGAACCGGAAGGAGUCUUAUAUUGCAGCAAGCUGUGCGGCAAAAAUCAACAAAUACUUUAAAUGAAUAGAGCCAGUUUUAAUUCAUCCGAGGACAAGAACAAAGUACAAAAGAUGCAGGCACAAGAGAAAGCUAACUCAGAUCCCAUCAAUUCUGCAUUAUUUUGCCAUUCUCCAGUUAACGAUAGAUAAAUCAAAAAAAAAAAAAAAAGCAACUUUCUACUGUUCCAAGAAUAAGGAAAAGAUGAAAGACGGGAUCUUAAAUGAAACCCUUGAAAAUAGAAGGCCACAGAAUUAUGAGCACCAGGAGGCACAUUUAGUUACAGGAAUGUUUACAAAAUUGUAAAACUAGUCCCCCUCUCGAGAUAUGAGGUACGGAGAUCCAGAUGAUAACAAAUUUUUGGUCAAUCAAAAAAUGUCUGAAGAAACAACCUAAACCAAGGCCACAUAUCAGAGAUCCAUAGGUUUUGAGUAAUCAAUGGAGAAAAUUCUCUCAACAACCCAUGACAGCACAGUUGUAAACAAAGACCCCAGCAUGCUCCUUCACACCAAGGACCUUCCAAUCCAAAGUGCCAUUCUUGGCCCCCGAUGUUGGACUCCAAGAAUUCAGCACAAUUGCUUCACCUUCUGGGCCCCUUUGACCACCCACAACAAGAAGUUCUUUCCCACAGGCCUUGAAAGCUAGACCCCAACCGUUUGAAGAAUCAGCCCUGACUGGGAGUCUUCCUAACACAUCCCAAGAGUUCUUUUCCUUGUCAUAUUUCUUUACCAUAUUGGUUAGAUACUCAACCGCAUAAAGCUGGUUGUUAACAACUGCAACAAGAGGUGGUGCCUGGGCAGCUCUAUUAACAGUUGGAUACAUGCCUUCUAUUUCCUUCCACUUCCUAGUCUUAAGAUCAAACUCCUCCCCACAAGUCAAGGAGUCAGUUGGACUAGUCAUCCCACCAAUCACGUAGAAUUUUCCAUCCAUGAAAAAACCAGAGCAAAGCCGUCGUGGGCAGUGCAUGUUUGGCAACAUCUCCCACCUGCCGGUGGCAGAAUUAUAAAGCUCUGCAGAUUUCAGUAUGUUACCGUUCUUAUCGCUCCCCCCUGCAACAAUAGCGAUCGAACCAAGACUACUAGAUCCAAAUAAACACCGAGGAUGGUUCAUCCCUUCACACUUCACCCAGUCACGAUGAACCAAACUAUACUUCCAAAUAGCAAAUUCAAACAACUCACGACCGAAAACCAGCAAUUCACUCCCCACAGCUAAUGACUCCUUAUCGGCAUAAUUAAAACAGUCAUCACAGGGAAUUUUAGGCAACCUCAUCCAUCUGUUUUUAAAGGGAUCGAAUGCUUCCCAUCCCCUUGGAUCACAUACCAAAUACACCCAAUGCUCCACAAUGCCCAACUGCCUCCGCAGCUCAUAUAGGUCUCCACUUUUAAUUAGCUUAUUAAACCUCGCAUUUAGGCAAGACAAUGAGGAAUAAUCUGAUCUGCAUGCCCAAGCAAGACAUGUCAAUGCAACAUCAUCAUGUAGACCAGGUAGAAAAGAAUCAUUUGAUCCAAAGUUACCCUGAUCAUCAUCACCUACUCCUGACCUCACUGCCACUUCUCCUCCUUUUAAUCCCCCCACCAAACAAUCAGAAUUCAACUUAUUCAUCUUAUAUGAAGAAGUCAGCAAUUUCUUCAACUUCUGUGUUUCUAAAACCAUGAUAUCCUAUCCCGGACAAAUUAGAAAAGCAAUGAAAAAGAAAUCUUGAAUCCGCAACUUUGUCAAACAGUCAUAUUUUUAACCACUUUUCUCUAUCUUUCCAUCCUGUCCAUCAAUUCAAGAAACUCAAAAACUGAAGACCCGUACGGAAAAUCCACACCCCUUGUUGAUAUAACGCCUAUAUGCCAACUUUAUCAGCUGAAUAGUGAAAUACCAAAUCAGCUACUCCAUUAAUUGCUCGAAUUUUCACCAGUUUUCACUUCCUUGAAAUCGUAUCCAUCAAUUAAACAACCUCAAAAACUGAACACCUCAUAUGAAAAGUCCGCACCCCUCUUCAAGUAACACCUAUAUUUCAACUUUAUUAUACAAAAAUACCAAUCCCAAAUAAACAAAAGCACCAAUUUAAGCCAAAAAAAUCCAAUAAAAAUUUAAUCUUUAACCAACACUUCCACAAUUUUCAUUAUUUUCUCAGAUGUUUUCCUCAGAAAGAUAACUUGCAACGACUUUGAUGGCAAGUUACCAGACAAAUAAAUACCAGAAAGAGAAAAGUAAAUAAAUUUGGAUUCGAACCGGGUUUCAGAGGAGAUGUUCGGAUCUCGCCGGAAAGUUGAAGCAUCUACGCCGGAGAAAAGUCAGAGCCUGAGGAAGGAGAUUUCACUGCCCAAGAAAAAUCGUAAUAAAUGUUUUUCUGAGGUUGGAAAGGCCGGUAGUUGAUUCCCGGUGAACAUUUUACCAGAGACACUUUCUGGUGCGUGUCUAUGUGUUAGAGAGGGAUAGAAAAAGCGGAAGCGGUUAUUUGACAGAGAGAGAGAGUGAGUGAGGGCAGGCGAGAAGUGGAGUUUAGUGAAUGAGAGACCCAAAGAGAAAAGUAUAUCUCUCUUUGCGAUGCUAGUCCCUGAUUAAUUAGAUAGUUUUUUUUUCUGCCCGGAAAUUCACAUAUUAUUCUACAUUUUUCCAGUUCAAGUUCCCCACUUUUGGUUGUACUUUGUCGAGUACAUUUAUUAGAUUUUGUUCAUCAUUAAUGAAGUUAUUUGCUAGCUCUCUUUUAUUUGAAGUGAAACAAGAAUUCUAAAAUCUAGCAAAGCAUGGGGGCCUUUGACUAUUUGCUUGUGAAAUUUCUCAUUAUUGUUUGUUCUAUCUCAUCUGUACAAUAUAUUAAUUAUUACUUGCUGCCGUGUCUUCUUCAACAAAACAUAUAUAUGACAGAACGAAUUAGCAAUUGAUUUCAAUUCAAAAAUUAACGUAUGGUUUAUGGCUUUGUAACUAAUUUUUAAGGGUAAUCUAACUUUUUAGGUUAUGGAUUUACAUAUACCAAUGGAAAAUAUGGAGGUUCUUAUCAUGUUAAAAUGAUGAUUAGUGGACAGAUCUCAUAUGCUUGGCUUUUGAAGCGGUUUUUUUCCCUUCAAAGUGGAAAUAUUUUUACAAUGUUUGACCAAUUCGAAUUACUUAGUAAAUAGAUUAGAAGAAAGAAGAAGCAACAUUUUUUAGCCUCACUUUCGGAAAAAAUUAAUAAUAGAUGAGGUGAUCAGUAAACAAGUUUGACCCUUGUUGCCUUUUCUCACCAUGUGACGUGGGUUGGACAAAGGCAAAGUGUCAAAGGCAAAUCAAUCUCUAAGAAGAGUAAACAUGGGCUAAGCAUAUUGAUGAUUAGAUUUAGAACUGGUCAAACACGGUGGCUAAGCAUAUACUUAGUUAUAUAUAUAUAUAUACAUAUAUAUAAAAUGAUUAAAGCAAUCAUAUUCAUGCUACUCCAACUAAUUUGCCAGUUAACAUUUGUCAACAUUUGUCUUCUACUAGUUGUUCACAGUUUUGAUUACUCUGACAAUUUCCAACUGAUGAACAUAUUUGCCAUCAGCAAGAGGUUUUGGCCCACAGAAGAAAACCCAAAAAAAAAAAAAGAAAAAAUUAUGAGGUUUUUGUUUAAAAUUCCAUUCCAAUAAUGAAUUAAUCUUUGGAUGGCAUGAGUUUGUAGUGCACUAACGUACUGGUCUUAUGAGUAGCUUAGGUGUCUGUCAUUGUAAUAAUUUUUGUAUCAAAAAAAUAAAAAAUAAAUGGUCAAUUUGAAUUCUUCCCUGAAAGAAAUAUAUCCAAUUCAAGCAUUUAAAUUAUGUAAUAAUUUGCUUGAAAACAAAUUUACGUACAAUAAUAAUAAUAAUGUCAAUCCAUACGGCAAAGUGAAUGGCAAAAAAAAAAAAAAAAAAAGAGAGAAAGAAAGAAAUAUACGUGGCUGGCUGAUGUUGAGCGUCCUUAUUAAUUUCCUGGCUGGAUCAAACAGUAGAAGUACAAGUCCUGCAGCAGCAAUCAACUUCGGUUUGGCAUCUACCUGUCUGCGUCUGGUUUUCCUUGCUUUUCAGGUCAGAUUUUUUUUAUUCACAUUCACCAAUUAAGAUCUUGGCAAAAAGAAAAAAAUAAAAACAAUUACUGGAUGGAUAUUUACGCUGUUACUAUUUAUUUUAUCGUAUAAUUUAAUAAAUAAAAAUUAUAAAAUUAAAAUGAUAGCGGAAAUGUAAUUAACAAAAAUGAAAAUACGAACUGCUUUCCCUCGCGGAAUAACGUGAAAAGUACUACUAUGGUAAAUCCACAAGACCGGCUAUAUAAUGUGUUCAUUAAGUUUUUUUUUUAAAAUAAAAUAAAAUAAAAUAAAAUCUCAUAAUCGAUAAGUAUAUUGUAGGAAUAGGUAAAACAAUCAAAACUUGUUGAUGGUUCAAUGGGUUAAAAUAUUCGUAGAUCCCCUUCCAAUCAAAGUAAUACAACACACGUACGUACAAUUCCAUUCAUUGCUUUCACCUUUCUCCUUUGAUGUUUUUAUUCUCUUUUAUGAAUUACGAGAAAAGUGGCCCUUUGUACUUAGCCCAGAAAGCAUCAAGAAUUCGUUGCUACCUAAUCACAUCAAGAAAAAGAAAGAAAGAAAGAAAGAAAGAAAGAAACACAAUCACCACUAAGAGAUAAUAUAAAGUACUUGAAAGGAAGAAGAAAAAACUUUGGUUACUUGUCCCUGUCAGCACAUGUUUAUGCUCCAAAAUAAAAACAGAAGUAUAAUGCAAGCUUCCAUAAUAGCUCAGGCUACCUUGUCAACUCAUCAAUAAUAAUAUCAACUUAUCCUCCAUGUCCUCAUAAGCCGUACUUGUUGGAAUAUAGUAAUAGGCUUUUAACAUGAUAAAAGAUGGUUAAUUUAGCUGAUUUAGUAAGAUUAUUAUUGACUUGAACAAUGAAUAAAUGUCGACAUUGCAUUUUCUAUCGUAAUCAUAUUAGGAAAACAAAUGAUACGAGGGCUCAAUUAAUAUUAAUAGGUGGGAGCAACAGAUAAUCGCAUCUGAUGCAAAAUUUAAGGGUAAAACAACAAGACUGAUAAAUUUCACCAUCUAUCUUAGAAUUUUGAUUGUGACCCAAAAAACCAAAUGAGGUGAUAAUUUUUUUUUUCUUUUUGGGUUUAGAUAUUGUAACCAACACUUGUUGGAUGAUUAGACUAUUCAAAUGAGGUGAUGCCAUUGCUUAUGAAAGACAUGCAGGCUGAUAACGUCUCGAGUCAAAAAUUCCUGUGGAAGAUGAGAACAAAAUCCUUGCGACAGCAUAUUAAUGGCAAAGCUGGCUCGCCUCAUGCUCCUGCUGCAACCGCAAAACACGCGGUUGAUGAGAAUGCCGUAAUUGUUUGUUUCUUUAUUUGUUUUGUUAGGCCUUCUGUCAUUGGCGCAAGCACUCAUUGUGUGCAAGCAAGAUCAUUCUGGACGAGCCUGAGGUCCGAUGUGAUCGAGACUUAGAGUUGCAAAUGAAUCGAGUCGAGUUCAGCUUUGGCCUAAUCGAGUCGAGUCUUGACUUGGUUUUAUUGAAUUCGAACUCGAGUUCAAACUCGAUGAACUGACAAUUUUAAAACUCGAGCUCGAAUCCCACAGUCCGGCAUCCUAAACUUCAAGCCUAGGAUACACUACAGAGAUCUGAAACCUAAGCUCUGAUACCACCUGUGACGGUCCCACCCCCCCUAGGGCGUACCCCAGGGUUCGGCGGGUCGCCUGCCCAACUCUCGCCGGGACUCAGUCGUUCACUACAGUCCUCAAUUAAAUCGGAAUAAAUCACAAGAAUAAAUAGGGCAACGAUCCAAAACUUAAAGCGGAACUUAUAUACAUUGUUAUCUCCAAAAGAAAGUAAAAAUAUCGAAUAUACAAAGGUUCUCCAUCCUUCAUACGUCCAGCCCGUGCUAAGCACUAGGCGAGAACCACUACAAAAGAAACAAAAGAACUAGACUGGCUAGUCUAUGCUCUCAUCCUGCUCGCCGUCCCCUGUUAAGGAAAACAAAAGUAAAGGGGUGAGCUAAAAACUCAGUGAGGUUCCGAACAAUAAUCAAACAAUCAAUUCAAGACAUUAAACAUGGAGUAUCAAUAAUUCAAGAAACAUUGUAAAGCGAUAGUAACACAUUCAUUAAAAAGAUACGAGCUCACAUGGAGCUAUUCGUUCGUUCGUUCGUUCCCCUGACAUUUUUCCUUAUUCUUCCAAUUAUUUGAAAAUUUCCUUUUUGAGAAGUAAAACCUUCGUGCCUUCGUUCGUUCAUUCAUCCCCUUCCGGAUGUUGACCGGACUCCACCCAUCCGGACGUUGGCCGGACUCCACCCAUCCGGACAUGGCCGGACUACAAGGUAAUACUCGAGUAUACCAAAUUCACCCAGGGUCACCAUAUCGCCCGACCGAGUCCGCUUCUGGCUCGAGUCGAUCGGUAACGAAGGGCAGGGCCCAGUUCAGCCAAACGGCUUACAUUCAUGCGUAACUAGCAUUUAAUCAUUUAAUCAUUGAAAAUUUCACAUUUCAUUUAGGUCGAGUGCGAUAAAGUACACACUCGCCUAGAAAACUCGUUUUAACAAUCAUUGAAAGCACUUAACACAUUAUCAAUCAAUAAUAACAAGCCAAUAAGUCAAGGAAAUAUAAAAAACAAGGAACACUCACCUAUGUAUGCAAAACAACGGGUAAAAUAUCCUUCCGGAUAUUAUCCUCAGUCACCGAGAAAACCUAAAUUAAACGAGAAAGAAUAUUACAGAUCAUCUAGCACAACAAUUAGGUGCAAUCAAAGAAACUCGACAAUUAUUGAGUAGAACGUCCAAAAAGACUUUAAAGUGAAACGAGGACAUUUGGACCCGUGGAUAAAAAUAACUAGGGUUUCAUAGACCAAACGUAAGUAUACCAGUUCAAAUAGAAACUUAGUUCUCGAGCGAUAAUUUAGGCAGCAUGCCCUUUGUAUUUUCCUAUUUUCCAGCCAUUUAUGGCUUCAUCCUUACUCAAUCAAAUCCAAGGUUAUCCACAACACAAUUUCAUUUCAAUAGCCAUUCCGUAGGCUCAAAACAAGACAAGAACAAAAAUUAAGCUGAUAUUGAGUGCGGAAAUGAAGUUUACAAAAGACAGUUUUGACAUCAUUUUACGGUUUUGGCACCGUUGGCACUACGAUUAUCGGAUGGAGGUGAAAUACACACCGUUUCGAAGCAAAGAGAUAGAGCUACAAUGUUUAAGAAGUCCACUCAGUCCAGUUUCUUGUGCAACUCGGCCAAAAAUGCAGGAGACUAAACCAGAACCGCAAAAACAGGUGAACAAACCGCAUUCUGGUUAAUAAACUGUAAGUCAGGCUACCUAAGUCCAAAUCAAGUGAUUCCAAAGCCAUUCGAAAGCUAAGACAUCAGGAUACAUUUCUUCAUAAUACCUCAAGAACCAAUUCAGAAGUAUUCCCAACCAAAAUAACCCAUUAUAGAAGCAAUUCUCAAAUUCGGGUAGAAACAGGGCAGCAGGGGUAAUUUGGUCUUUUCUCAGGCUACGUUACUCCGAUUGAGCUGAAAUUUUGUAGGCACCUAUAAAAUACCAUUCUCUAGAACUUUCAUGUUUUUACCAAGACUAAUUCGGCCUCUAACAUGGUGCAAUAAAACCGGACAGAAUAGAGCUGAAAUUUUCCAGAAAUCUGGAUUUUGGGAUUCAAUGCAACCUUUCUUGAUUUCUUGCUUCACUUGCUACCAAAACCCCCUACGCGAGCGGUUCGAUUCAUUUGCAGCACUAAUCAAGACUCAUCUGCAACACAAGAAAAAACAGAGGUCGGGGUUUUGUGCUCCGAGUUCACUCCGAUACUUAAAUCAGAUGUUAUUUAGAUUAAAAUGAGGCUGGUAAGGUUGGAUAGCAUUGCAUGCCUACAAGUUGAUGAGUGAUCGGCAUUGAUAUUGGCGGGACUAAGAGACCAAAUGAUGAGAGUUUUACCUCAUAGAGUAGAAUAGAGUAGGGCGGCAGUGUUAAGGAGUAGACCUAAAUCAUAGGGUGACAAAUUGUCACAUCAAUCAUAUCAUAUACUAGUGUUAAGUCGAGAUUUGUGUCACCUCGUAUGUAUGGAACUGGUCGAGAUGAAGUUGAAACUCAUCUGAACUGGCCGAGUGUCCACACGUUACAAAUAUAAUAAUCUUCAUGUAAAAGUGCAAUUAGUGAUGAGAGCUUGAUCUAGUGAUCGAAAUUGUGAUUUUAGGUGAUCGAAAUUGUGAUUUUAGAUAUUAAAAGCAUUAAAAUUUUUUUGAACACGAUAUAAUUUCUAUCAUUAAUAAUGAAAUUGUGAUAUUCUAUUAAAAAAAAUAAUAUCAAAGGUAUUGAGUGAGUUGAAGUCUAGUGUGAGUUCUCAUGUGAAAUUUUUUUAAGCUUGUACUUUGACUGUAUUGCUACCACUACUGUGAGUUCCUUAUAAUCGUUUAUUAAAAAUAACACAAAAAGAAAAUGCAAUUUGUCCUCCAUCACUUGAUGUUGAUCCACUAAUCAGUUUUAUGCACGCUACAUUACCUUUCAUGCAUUCGCAAUUAUUCUUGUUUUCAUUUUAUAUGGAAAGACUAAAAUAUCCACCAUAAGUUCUGGCACCUUUGUUAACAAAAUGGCUGAUACAACGUUCAAAAUAGUAGUUUCUUUUUUCCAGAGACAAAAAUAUAGUAGUUGUAAGGUGCAGGAUCCAUGCAUAAAACUGUCAAUUAUAAAAAAAAAAAAAAAAAUCUGGUUAUGGAAAUGAUGGACAGCGUUGACAAAACUCACUAAAUAUUAGUAGUUGUUCUAUCCAAUAUAUAUUUAUAGUGCUAGCGAGGGUAUACAAUUAAGUACUUACCAUACACAAUUUAGCUGAUUUCAUUAAGAACCUUAUAAUAAUUAGAAGACAUUUAUGUCCCUUUUUUUUUGCUCGGUAUAACGGAAUAAAUAAGGGGUCAAUUGGACGCAAUUAAUUUAGGUUACAAUUACGGGCAAAGUGGGUUUUACCUUAGAAUCAAUGAAGACAAGGCAUGGAAUGGAACAAACUUAAAAGAGGGAUGGGACAGGUUCAUGGCGGCUAUAAAAAACUACAUGUGGUGCUUUCGAAGUCCCGAGCCAAAAUCUUUUACCAGCUGUUUGGUAAGGGAGAAUCACCACUAUGGAAUGGGUUUCAAGCUCGACACACCCAUACAUACAUGAUUAUUGGUUGACAUCUAUCACUAUGGAAGACCCAAAAGUGCUCAAUGGCCAUUCCGGACCAAAUUGGACACUUUUGUGUCCAUUCCCGAAUUCUCAACAUGAUAAAGCCAAGAUCUUGCUGAUUAAAAAACUCCCAUCAUUCUCUCUGUCUGCAACCCUCAUUUAUACCUCCUCUCCUCUCUCGUCUUCCCUUUUUCCCUUCCCAUAAGCCACAGAAAGUGGCCCUCAUUUACUGGGUUUUUGUCGAUUUUGUUGUAAAAUUAUGAAAUCAGAACAAAAAUUAGAGGAAGAGAAAUGGAGGUUGGUAAGAUUCCUAUGCAGAUACAGCUACUACUACCAAGCAUCAGUUUUUUGGCAAAGGGAACCCCCAAUAAAACCAUAACUAUUGAUGGGUCAUAGACAUUGCCAUUGCUGAGUCUGAACCAAGCGGGUGGUUAGUACCAUUAACUAUUUUCCUAAAGUGGGAAUACUUGUGCUUGCAUGGCAUUCACUUCUCUGUCAAACUUCCCCUACUAUCAGACUUGACUUGCUAGCUUACUGGGCAGAUGGUGCUUGAAAAGCAGCAGUUGAAGGCACUUGAUGUGAAUGAAAAGCAGCAUUAGAUGUGGGACGUUGAAACAUCCACCGGUCACGUUGUAAACAGCAAGUCAACUCACUAAGCUCCUAAUAGCAUUUCCAUUGUACUUGCAUAGCUAAUAAUACGGCAGGAAGAUUGGGAGCUGAUGAACGCAAGGAAUUAUCAGAAAAGAAAAAGAUGUUAUAAACGUGAUAGCUCUCUACAAAACAAAGCAAGUCUAAAAGAGACUCUCACUGCCUCUCAUCUCUAUACUGCGAUGCCUCGCAUACAUAAUUCAUUCAGUUUUCGCAAGUCACCCCCUUCACUGGAGAAAGGGACCAAAAACUCUACUGCUAUACAAAAAUGGAAAGCCUCGUCAAGCGAGAAGAUCCACUGCGCUCCCAUU
rnacentral:lncRNA from 1 species